rnacentral:rRNA from 1 species
UACCAAGCCUGCGGCGGAAUGUUGCGUUAAGGGAAAGGUCGUUAAUAAGCCCUGCACUACCUGGCCUAAGUUUGGCUUGAAUUGUUCACUGUAUCCUAACGGGUACUACGGCUCCACAGAGGGUGUCAGACCCGUGUGGCCAUGUGAUUAAAUGUGCGUGGGUUCGGCUUUAUUCCCUGAGAGUCGCGUUGCUUGAGCAUGCAGCGCUAAGCAGGUCGUAAACUCGACCUAAGGCUAAAUAUAUUCACAGAACCGAUAGUAAACAAGUACCGUGAGGGAAAGUUGAAAAGUACUCUGAAGAGAGAGUUAAAAGACCGUGAAACCGCUUAGAGUAUAAGCCAAUGGUUUUCUGGAAUGCUGGAGCUACCCUGACAAAAUGGUGCCCGAUUGUGGGGAACGUGGUAAGGGUAUCGUUUGUGCGAGAGGUCAUGAAGACUGACGGGCAAUAUGGUGAUACGAAGUGGCAUUGAGUUGAUAUCACGGCAACCGAAUCUCGCGGGUCUCUGACAGUGGUAACAGGGAACGUUCUAAUGAGGAACUGAACCGAGGCUGGGCUUGUGCGAGCGUCAGUUUCUAAGCACAAUAACGAAUUGCUUUCUAAACAGCACACCACAAUCCUUUAUAAGGUCUCCCUCGUGCGGCGGUGUGGAGAAAAGAUUUAUCUUUUCUCUCUCAAGCUAGUCGUGUCGCGUCCUUGCUCUCUUGCGACACGUUGUGGGCGACGUGUACUGCUCUCUACCCGUUGUUCUUAUGCGGAUGUGAGUGGUGUAAAUGCUAGAGGGCCGGCCGACUAUGCAUAUUGCCAAUCCAGACACGGGCGGAAUGAUCCUAUGUGAAGAUUGAAUCUGACCAUCCGAAACCCGCAAGGCUGCUUCAACCGGCGGUCCGAGUCAAUACACGAUAGUACCAGCGCUUCACCUGCUUUAGCUUUUGUGGAGGGUCUUUAACGGAUGUUGGGAGUGCAUUGGCCUUCGCGUCCUUAGAGACUUGCCCUCUAGUUGUGGGUGGACGGGGAGCGAGUGCUAUCGUUGUGGUGGAGGAGGAUUGGUGUAUUAUUCCAGAGCCAUCGGUCACGUCUCGAAACACGGGCCAAGGAGCAUAGCAUGUGCGCAAGUCUAAGGGAUAAGAAAUCCUGGAGGCGAAGUGAAAGCAAAUGGUGUGUUUACGAGUGUGUACGCACACGCGUAUUCAGUCUGCGAUCAGCGUAAUUCCUAUAGACCCUUUCGGGGGUAUGUGGAUGAAUGCGUGUCGCUGCUUAAACUGGGUUGAUCCUAUUGUAAUAAAGCCACACUGGCGAUACGUGGGCGCAAACCCCAGGCUCUCUCACUUACAAGGGUAUUCGCGUAUCCUUGUGAGAGCACUGCAGAGCGUGCAUGUUAUAACCCGAA